rnacentral:tRNA from 1 species
CGCGGAGUGGAGCAGUAUGGCAGCUCGUCGGGCUCAUAACCCGGAGGUCAGAGGUUCAAAUCCUCUCUCCGCAACCA